CUCAAAUCUCAUCCGCGUCUCCUCCUCCGCAGCCGCCGCACUCCCAUGUCCUCCUCCGCCGCCAGCCGCAGCGGCCGCGAAGCCUCCGCCGUCAACCCGCCGCGGCGGCCUCCCCUCCUCGUCCGCCAUCCCGCUGCGGCGGCCAGGACCCUGCCUCCGUCAUCCAGGCGCGGCUACAACCUCUCACCGACGCCUCCUACCCUGGCGGCCGAGGUCCCUCCUCAGAUCGAGCAGCCAGCCGUGUCACCACCCGCGCCUGCUGCUGCUCCUUCUGCAAUCUAGCGGCAGGAAGGGAUCCAGGGCCUGCACGAUGCACAAGGACUACACGGCGCCCGCGCCGCCCGCCUCCGCGAGGUGCGAGCGGAAGGGCCUACCGGCCGCGGCGCACGGCUCCACUUUGGCAAGGCGUGGGCGGAAGGGCAGGCAGCAGCAACAGCGAGCCCUCCACCACGAUAACACCUGUUCGUCUCCUUCAGUUCCUAUCCUCCUCCCUUAUGUGCCCCAACUGUUUGCUAAAAUGCCUGCUAGGAUAGAAAGGAUAUUAUUUUGCAGAUUCGUGUACCAACUAUACAUUAUUUUUUAAGAUUCAUUGAAGAAAAAUAAACUUGUGAUCUGCAUUGAAAGAAUGAUUUAUCAUAUGGAUUUAUAUUCUUUCAGGUUCUUUUUUUCAGGUUCUCUAUGCAAUUCCCUUGAUAUGUUAAAGUGGUCAUGGGCAAGAGCUUGAGUUUCCAUGGUAAACUGAUGGUGGCUUCAGUUCCUUGAUCAUGGAGAAAUAGUAUGAACUCCGAGAAAUGUUGGUUAUCAGAAAGAUGACACCACCACCGUACGUGCACAGGACGCACAAGUUCCCCUUCUGCUGUCCUUUGCUACCUGUGAUGUGUGAAGAGGGAGAGAAGCACAAAGAUCAAGAACAAGUGCAUCGAAUUUGUUUGAGUGCCUCUACAGGAAAAAGAGAAAUGAUGCACGAUAUGUACAUAUUGCCAUUGCAUAUUAGCUUUCAAAUAUAGCUUAUAGCAAUUUUGGAUGAAAUUUUUUUAUGUGAUUUAAUGUUGUAUGUGAUUAAAUGCUCGAUCAAAAUUUAUUUAUGUGAUGAGAUGUUAAUUUCUUGUUGAUA